rnacentral:rRNA from 1 species
GAUGAACGCUGGCGGCGUGCCUAAUACAUGCAAGUCGAGCGGACGGACGAGAAGCUUGCUGCGCGGAUGUUAGCGGAGGACGGGUGAGUAACACGUGGAUAACCUACCUAUAAGACUGGGAUAACUUCGGGAAACCGGAGCUAAUACCGGAGGAUAUUUUGAACCGCAGGGUUCAAAGGUGAGAGACGGCCUUGCUGGCACUUAUAGAUGGAUCCGCGCUGCAUUGGCUAGUUGGUAAGGUAACGGCUUACGAAGGCAACGAUGCAUAGCCGACCGGAGGGGCGGAUAGGCCACACUGGAGCGUGGCCACCGUCCAGACUCCUACGGGAGGCAGCAGUAUGCAAUCGUCCGCAGUGGGCGAAAGCCUGACGGAGCAAGGCCGCGCGUGUGACGGAAGUCUUCCGAUCGUAAUACUCUGUUACUAGUUGAGAACAGAUUUGUAAGUAACUGUGCACAGCUUGACGGUACCUAAUAAGAAAGCCACGGCUAACUACGUG